rnacentral:rRNA from 1 species
UACGUAGGGUCCAAGCGUUGUCCGGAAUUAUUGGGCGUAAAGAGCUCGUAGGCGGUGUGUCGCGUCGGAUGUGAAAGCCCGGGGCUUAACCCCGGGUCUGCAUUCGGUACGGGCAUGCUGGAGUUCGGUAGGGGAGACUGGAAUUCCUGGUGUAGCGGUGAAAUGCGCAGAUAUCAGGAGGAACACGGGUGGCGAAGGCGGGUCUCUGGGCCGAUACUGACGCUGAGGAGCGAAAGCGUGGGGAGCGAACAGG